GACGUAGGGGGCGAGCGUUGUCCGGAUUUAUUGGGCGUAAAGAGCUCGUAGGCGGCUCAGAAAGUCGGGUGUGAAACCUCCAGGCUCAACCUGGAGACGCCACCUGAUACUGCUGUGGCUAGAGUCCGGUAGGGGAACACGGAAUUCCCGGUGUAGCGGUGAAAUGCUUAGAUAUCGAGAGGAACACCGGUGGCGAAGGCGGCGAUCUGGACGAUGACUGACGCUGAGACGCGAAAGCGUGGGGAGCAAACAGG
rnacentral:rRNA from 1 species